AAGAUCUAGCUCGUCCAGCAGCUCGGGUGGCGAAGUCUCUUCAAAUCUUUAGGCCGCUGUGUCGUGCUAGAUCUAUA
rnacentral:pre_miRNA from 1 species